rnacentral:rRNA from 1 species
CCGGGCGUUUUGGAUGGGGCACGUUUCGACGGACGCUAAUACCGCAUACGUCCUACGGGAGAAAGUGGGGGAUCUUCGCACUCACGCUAUCAGAUGAGCCUAGGUCGGAUUAGCUAGUUGGUCGGGGUAAAGGCCUACCAAGGCGACGAUCCGUAACUGGUCUGAGAGGAUGAUCAGUCACACUGGAACUGAGACACGGUCCAGACUCCUACGGGAGGCAGCAGUGGGGAAUAUUGGACAAUGGGCGAAAGCCUGAUCCAGCCAUGCCGCGUGUGUGAAGAAGGUCUUCGGAUUGUAAAGCACUUUAAGUUGGGAGGAAGGGCAGUAAGUUAAUACCUUGCUGUUUUGACGUUACCGACAGAAUAAGCACCGGCUAACUUCGUGCCAGCAGCCGCGGUAAUACGAAGGGUGCAAGCGUUAAUCGGAAUUACUGGGCGUAAAGCGCGCGUAGGUGGUUUGGUAAGAUGGAUGUGAAAUCCCCGGGCUCAACCUGGGAACUGCAUCCAUAACUGCCUGACUAGAGUACGGUAGAGGGUGGUGGAAUUUCCUGUGUAGCGGUGAAAUGCGUAGAUAUAGGAAGGAACACCAGUGA